UACAGAGGGUGCAAGCGUUGUUCGGAUUUACUGGGUUUAAAGGGUGCGCAGGCGGAUAUGUAAGUCAGUGGUGAAAUCUCCGGGCUUAACCCGGAACUGCCGUUGAUACUAUAUAUCUUGAAUGCCGUGGAGGUAAGCGGAAUAUGUCAUGUAGCGGUGAAAUGCUUAGAUAUGACAUAGAACACCUAUUGCGAAGGCAGCUUACUACACGGAGAUUGACGCUCAUGCACGAAAGCGUGGGGAUCAAACAGGA
rnacentral:rRNA from 1 species